CGCGGGAUGGAGCAGCAUGGUAGCUCGUCGGGCUCAUAACCCGAAGGUCGUCGGUUCAAAUCCGGCUACCGCAACCA
rnacentral:tRNA from 1 species